rnacentral:rRNA from 1 species
UACGUAGGGACCAAGCGUUGUUCGGAUUUACUGGGCGUAAAGGGCGCGUAGGCGGCGUGUUAAGUCAGCUGUGAAAAUCUCCAAGCUUAACUUGGAACGGUCAGCUGAUACUGAUGUGCUAGAGUGCAGAAGGGGCAACCGGAAUUCUUGGUGUAGCGGUGAAAUGCGUAGAUAUCAAGAGGAACACCUGAGGUGAAGACGGGUUGCUGGGCUGACACUGACGCUGAGGCGCGAAAGCUAGGGUAGCAAACGGG